rnacentral:rRNA from 1 species
UACGGGGGGAGCAGGCGUUGUUCGGAUUUACUGGGCGUAAAGGGCGCGUAGGCGGCCAGCACAAGUCAGUUGUGAAAUCCCCGGGCUCAACCUGGGAACUGCAUUGGAAACUGGCAGACUAGAGUACGUAAGAGGGGGGUGGAAUUCCACGUGUAGCAGUGAAAUGCGUAGAGAUGUGGAGGAACACCGAUGGCGAAGGCAACCCCCUGGGACGAUACUGACGCUGAGGCACGAAAGCGUGGGGAGCAAACAGG